rnacentral:rRNA from 1 species
CUCGUAGGCGGCCAACUAAGUCAGACGUGAAAUCCCUCGGCUUAACCGGGGAACUGCGUCUGAUACUGGAUGGCUUGAGUGUAGGAGAGGGAUGUGGAAUUCCAGGUGUAGCGGUGAAAUGCGUAGAUAUCUGGAGGAACACCGGUGGCGAAGGCGGCAUCCUGGACUACUACUGACGCUGAGGAGCGAAAGCCAGGGGAGCAAACGGGAUUAGAUACCCCGGUAGUCCUGGCCCUAAACGAUGAAUGCUUGGUGUGACGGGUAUCGAUCCCUGUCGUGCCGAAGCUAACGCAUUAAGCAUUCCGCCUGGGGAGUACGGUCGCAAGGCUGAA